AGCAGUAGCCGCGGUAAUACGGAGGGAGCUAGCGUUGUUCGGAAUUACUGGGCGUAAAGCGCACGUAGGCGGUUAUUCAAGUCAGAGGUGAAAGCCCGGGGCUCAACCCCGGAACUGCCUUUGAAACUAGAUGACUAGAAUCUUGGAGAGGUCAGUGGAAUUCCGAGUGUAGAGGUGAAAUUCGUAGAUAUUCGGAAGAACACCAGUGGCGAAGGCGACUGACUGGACAAGUAUUGACGCUGAGGUGCGAAAGCGUGGGGAGCAAACAGGAUUAGAUACCCCCGUAGUCCCUGUCUCUUAUAC
rnacentral:rRNA from 1 species